rnacentral:lncRNA from 1 species
CCAGGGUCCAGUUGGCCUGAUUGGGAUAGCUGGAGUGAUAGGGGUUCCUGGUGAAAAGGGUGACCGUGGACCAACAGGUCCAACAGGUCCAGUUGGGGAGAAAGGGCCAAGGGGCUAUCCAGGAUUGCCAGGAAGUCCUGGAGACAUUGGCAUGCAAGGUGCACCUGGUCCACAGGGACAGAGGGGUACUCCAGGCAUUGCUGGGGUGAAGGGCAGAAUGGUAAGAGCUCUCUUUAAAUUUAGAACUCUAGUUUUGCUAAAUGAACUUUUAUCAAUGUAAGCCCCCUUAAUAGUCAAUAAAUGACCAUAAAAGCUUCCCUUAUCAGACCUUUGGUUGUAUGUUUUGCAUCGCAG